UGGGGAAUUUUGGACAAUGGGCGCAAGCCUGAUCCAGCAAUGCCGCGUGCAGGAUGAAGGCCUUCGGGUUGUAAACUGCUUUUGUACGGAGCGAAAAGGUCUGCCCUAAUACGGUGGGCUCAUGACGGUACCGUAAGAAUAAGCACCGGCUAACUACGUGCCAGCAGCCGCGGUAAUACGUAGGGUGCAAGCGUUAAUCGGAAUUACUGGGCGUAAAGCGUGCGCAGGCGGUUAUGCAAGACAGGUGUGAAAUCCCCGGGCUCAACCUGGGACCUGCAUUUGUGAAUGUAUAGCUAGAGGACGGUAGAGGGGGAUGGGAUUCCGCGUGUAGCAGUGAAAUGCGUAGAUAUGCGGAGGAACACCGAUGGCGAAGGCCAUCCCCUGGACCUGUACUGACGCUCAUGCACGAAAGCGUGGGGAGCAAACA
rnacentral:rRNA from 1 species